GCAAUACCUGUGUCAAUGGUGGAAAGCAAGACCUCGGAACCAGCAACCCAAAGGAUCAAAUUUGCAACAUUACCAUUUCGACCACUUUUUAUAAGAAGGUUGAUCAAUGGAGACUUAAAUGUUCGAUCAGAAAAAGCUGACCCAAAUUCUUUCCCUACAGCAACAGCCACUCCAUAUCCUGUUAAAUCCUGAAGCCUGCAAGAUGUUAAAGCAAGUACCCAAGCAUGCCAUGUGAGCCAGCCAGUGGCGGAGCCAGGAUUUUCUUUAAGGGGAGUCAAAACAUAAAGAAAUAAACUCAUCAAGAAGUCAAGGGGUGUCAUUAUAUAGUAUAUUUACAUAUUUUUAAAAAUAUUACCUAGCUCUACAGUGUAAUUUUCCGGCGAAGGGGUGUCGGUCGACACCCCUUUGGUGUAUGUGGCUCCGCCACUGGAGCCAACAAACACCAGUUAAUACAGUGACUAAUGAAAAAAUGCCAUUUUCCCUCUGUUUUCCUUCUUAAUUUCUAAGCAAGCAAAUGCAGUAUACUAUAGCAUUCAUCAAAUUCCAACCAAACUAAAGGGAUAGGAGACAUUGCACUUGGGCUCUAACAUAUAAUGGAAUGUACAUGCUGCUCUCUCUAAUUUUUCUUGUGUUUUGUGGUAGCAUCGGAAAAACUGUUUUCGAACAUACUCUUAAUCUUACAUCAGACAGUAAAUGCCUCUAACAAUUCAAAGAAUCUGCAAUCCUUUUUACUACUUUGAUGUAUAGACAACUAGAUUCGAACAAAAUCAUCACUUAUAUUCUGUCAAAGGAUGCAUUUGAGAAUUUCUAUCAUCUAGAGCAUUUUAUACGAGGGUGUAUGACUAAGAGACUUUUGACUCAUAAGCAGUGUUUAAAAAAGCGCUCGCUUCAUCGCUUUAAGCGAGAAGCGAGGCGAAGCGUGAAAGGCAGCGCUUCAGCUUGCUGAAGCGACUCAGGUCAGUAAAAGCGACCGCUUCUCUGUAAAAAGCGAGAAGCGGGGAAAGCGAAGCGAAGCGAAGAAGCGUCCGCUUCUCUGUAUUAAAAUACCCAACCCUAUUUUAUUAAAAACAAGUUUUUUGGAUUAAACACUGAUCUUCAACAACAGCGACUAGUAUUCUUCAACUUCCAACAGCAACGACUUCUUCUUCAUCUACUUCUGAUUUCUUAAAGAAUCUCAAAGNNNNNNNNNNNNNNNNNNNNNNNNNAGUUAUUAACAGAGAAGUAUUGAACAUUUGCUUACAAUUACAUGUAUUGUCUAUGCAAUAUUUUUUUACUUUUUUUUAAAAAUUUCGCUUCACUUCAAAAAAGCGAGCGCUUCGCUUCUCGCUUCUCGCUUUAAGCGAAAUUGGGUUUGUCGCUUUUUCUCGCUUCAGGCUCUUCACAACACUGCUCAUAAGAUAAAUGUAUAUAACCUACAAGAAAUACCUUAAAAUCUUGUGGUAUUCAUCAUGCCAUGUCAUUCUUAUAGGACCAUGACAUUAAAGGUAAAAUGGGGAUGUGCAAAUUAAAGCAUUUCCAAAUAUGUAAGAAGAUGUCAAUCUUUUUGAAACAAACCAAAAGGAACGGAGAGAGAAAUCAUCCUAAAGCUGUUAUAAGCUAAAGAAACAAUGAAGAAUAGCAUCUGCGGAGAUAAAUUGCCCAGUUUGUAUUUAUGUGUUCUCUUGCAUGAAAAUUAUAACCAUGUCUGAUAAUUUAAUAAGGAAGAGAAUUACUGGAAUGGACCCAUAGGGAGACCAAAGUUGGUGAUUUGCGCAUCGAUCCUGUAGACAUCCACUCCUAGAUUGGCCAGAAUAUGUGCACCCUGGGCGUAGGGAAAGAAGGUCCUAUUGACAGCAAAGCCAGUACAAUUUCCCACCACAACAGGCACUUUCUUAAUUGCCUUGCCAACAGCCAUAAGGUCAAGAAUUGCUUGCGCAGAUGUCUUCUCUGUUCGUACUAUCU
rnacentral:lncRNA from 1 species